AUAUGUCCAUGAGCCAAACAGGCUUAUGGAAAGUUCUUCUACACACAAAAAAAUCAAAGCUCUCCUCUCCCCAUCCCCAACCUCUGCUAGAAAAUUGGCCAUAAUGAAACUGACUUGACAGGUUAAAAGACCCUGUCCUAGAUGCCCAGGAAUCAGGUAGUCACACAUUUUACAGACUUCAUGGCAGCGAUGAGUAAUCUGUGAUGAUACUAAAUAGAGGCAAUAAUAACUAACUCCAUUAAAUGUCAUGCUGAUUGUCUGUUUUUAUAGCACCAAUGGUACUGUUUUAUUUAUUGCCAAUAGACCACAACAUUCACAUCUGUUUUUCCUCAAGGGAACUGUAUUUGCUUUUGGUUGAAGGAUUUAUCUAUUUGAUACUAUCCAGAAUAUUGUUAAGCUAUAAUUUCCUGGGUUAUAUUUUAGAUGGGUUGUCUGCAUGGUGGUAAAAUAAGCUUUUUCCUCUCGCCUACAUCCUUUGGAAGAUCUCCUGAUCAUACAUAACUAGAUAGGGCUUAUUCUUGCUGUCGGAGCUUGGCACCCAGCUCUAGACUGUUUCUUUGAGCAUUACUGCAGAUUGGAGACGUGUGUGAUAGGAGCAGGGCUCAGAAAUAGGGCUUGAGGCUCAAGCAGAAACUGAAGCUCUCAUUCAAAUGAAGGUGCUCUCUCUACCGCAUGAUCGGCAGUGAGGAAAGGAGGAUGAAAAUCCUUCUCAUCACAAAGAGCUUGAAGGAAUCCACGUCCCCAGAUUAGCAACCCUAGAGUUCAUCUGUGCAAGCCGGGAAAUGUGUAAGCUUCCUUGAUCAGCUCCAGGCCUCACAGCACGGGAGCAGUGACCAGUAAGGAAAUGUCACUGUUGUGCUUUCUGUUGGAAAUUGUUAGAAAAUACAGUGAACUGGCCGGGCACAGUGGCUCAUGCCUGUAAUCCCAGCACUUUGAAAGGCUGAGGCAGGCAGAUCAUUUGAGGUCAGGAGUUCGAGACCAGCCUGGCCAACAUGGUGAAACCCCAUCUCUACUAAAAAUACAAAAAUUAGGCAGGCGUGGUAGCAGGUGUCUGUAAUCCCAGCUCCUCGGGAGGCUGAGGCAGAAGAAUCGCUUGAGCCUGGGAGGCAGAGGUUGCAGAAAGCCGAGAUCACGUCACUGCACUCCAGCCUGGGUGACAGAGCGAGACUCUGUCUCAAAAAAAAAAAAAAAAAAAAA
rnacentral:lncRNA from 1 species